rnacentral:rRNA from 1 species
CCUACGGGUGGCAGCAGUGGGGGAUAUUGCACAAUGGGGGAAACCCUGAUGCAGCGACGCCGCGUGGGCGAAGAAGUAUUUCGGUAUGUAAAGCUCUAUCAGCAGGGAAGAAGAAAUGACGGUACCCGAGAAAGAAGCACCGGCUAAAUACGUGCCAGCAGCCGCGGUAAUACGUAGGGUGCAAGCGGUAACCGGAUUUACUGGGGGUAAAGGGAGCGCAGGGGGGAUGGCAAGCCUGACGUGAAAGCCCGGGGCCCAACCGCGGGACUGCAGUGGGAACUACCGGGCUGGAGUGCCGGAGAGGUAAGUGGAAUUCCUAGUGUAGCGGUGAAAUGCGUAGAUAUUAGGAGGAACACCAGGGGCGAAGGCGGCCUACUGGACGGUGACUGACGCUGAGGCUCGAAAGCGUGGGGAGCAAACAGGAUUAGAUACCCCAGUAGUC